rnacentral:rRNA from 1 species
GCCAGACUCCUACGGGAGGCAGCAGUGGGGGAUAUUGCACAAUGGGGGAAACCCUGAUGCAGCGACGCCGCGUGAGUGAAGAAGUAUUUCGGUAUGUAAAGCUCUAUCAGCAGGGAAGAAAAAAGACGGUACCUGACUAAGAAGCCCCGGCUAACUACGUGCCAGCAGCCGCGGUAAUACGUAGGGGGCAAGCGUUAUCCGGAUUUACUGGGUGUAAAGGGAGCGUAGACGGCAAUACAAGUCGGAAGUGAAAUACCCGGGCUUAACCUGGGAACUGCUUUGGAAACUGUAUGGCUGGAGUGCUGGAGAGGUAAGCGGAAUUCCUAGUGUAGCGGUGAAAUGCGUAGAUAUUAGGAGGAACACCAGUGGCGAAGGCGGCUUACUGGACAGUAACUGACGUUGAGGCUCGAAAGCGUGGGGAGCAAACAGGAUUAGAUCCCCCCGUA